rnacentral:rRNA from 1 species
UACGGGGGGGCAAGCGUUGUUCGGAAUUACUGGCGUAAAGGCUCGUAGGUGGCCACUAAGUCAUACGUGAAAUCCCUCGGCUUAACCGGGGAACUGCGUCUGAUACUGGAUGGCUUGAGGUUGGGAGAGGGAUGCGGAAUUCCAGGUGUAGCGGUGAAAUGCGUAGAUAUCUGGAGGAACACCGGUGGCGAAGGCGGCAUCCUGGACCAAUUCUGACACUGAGGAGCGAAAGCCAGGGAGCAA